GACCUAACCCUUGAUUUAUCGAGAUAUGGUCGUAAAUCCUAUCCUACAUAUUAAUGGUCUUCCGACCAGUACUUGUAGGAUAGGUCUAUGCUCGAAAGGGUGUAGUGGCGUCUCCGUAAGGAUUCGUC
rnacentral:sRNA from 12 species